AGAAAUAAUUAGAAAUAAUGGGAACUAAUGAGAAAUAAUCGGAAAAUAAUUAGAAAUAAUUAGGAAUAAUGAGAACUAAUGAGAAAUAAUAAGAAAAUAAUGGAAAUAAUUAGAAAUAAUCGGGCUAAUUGGGAUUCGAUAGUAAUUAAGAACCGACAGAAAUGACGGGAGUUAAUUAAUUAGCAAAUAUUAGGGGGGAAAUAGAGAAAAUAAUUAAUUGGGAUUUUAGAACCAAACGACCCCAAAACCUCCCCCAAAUUUGGAGUCAUUAAGACUCAUUUCCCGCUGAUAAUUAGCACUAAUUAAUGCCGAUCGUUAAGCGAUUAGCCCUAAUAGCCCUAAUCGCCAAUUAUUAAUUGGAUUUUGGGGCUUCAUUAAGGAACGGGCGGUGGUUAUUAAUGGCGUUAAUUAACGAUCGGAAGCGAUUAUUGGGGUUAAUGAAUGGCCUUAAUUAACGGGAUUAAUUAAUGGGGUUAAUUAAUGCGGUUUAUGGAUGGGGUUAAUUAACGGGACUAAUUAAUGCGGUUAAUUAAUGCGGUUAAUUGAUGGGGUUAAUGAAUGUGAACGAGGGGGAGCUACGGGGCCAUGGUGACAGUAUGGACCAGUAUGGACCAGUACAAACCAGUAUGGACCAGUAUGGGGGUACUCGCAGCUAUACUGGUUUGUACUGGUGCUGGGACCAGUACGGACCAGUAUGGACCAGUAUGGACCAGUAUGGACCAGUACGGGUGUACCGGCAGCUGUACUGGUUUGUACUGGUGCUGGUACUGGUAUAGACCAGUAUGGACCAGUACGGACCAGUAUGGGUGCACUGGGACCAGUACAGACCAGUACGAACCAGUAUGGACCAGUACGGGUGUACCGGGAGCUGUACUGGUUCGUACCGGUGCUGGUACUGGAAUGGACCAGUAUGGACCAGUACAGACCAGUACGGGUGUACCGGCAGCUGUACUGGUUUGUACCAGUGCUGGAACCACUAUGGACCAGUAUGGACCAGUAUGGGGCUACCGGCAGCUGUACUGGUUUGUACUGGUGCUGGUACUGGUACAGACCAGUACGGACCAGUAUGGACCAGUAUGGACCAGUAUGGGUGUACCGGCAGCUGUACUGGUUUGUACUGGUGCUGGUACUGGAACAGACCAGUAUGGACCAGUAUAGACCAGUAUGGGUGUACUGGGAAAGGUACUGGUUUGUACUGGUGCUGGUACAGACCAGUACGGACCAGUAUAGACCAGUAUGUUUGUACUGGUGCUGGUACUGGUACGGACCAGUAUGGACCAGUAUGGAUGCACUGGGACCAGUACAGACCAGUAUGGGUGUACCGGCAGCUGUACUGGUUAGUACUGGUGCUGGGACCAGUAUGGACCAGUAUAGACCAGUAUGGGGGUACCGGCAGCUGUACUGGUUUGUACUGGUUCUGGUACUGCUACGGACCAGUAUGGACCAGUAUGGGUGCACUGGGACCAGUACCGACCAGUAUGGACCAGUACGGGGGUACCGGGAGCUGUACUGGUUCGUACUGGUGGUGGUACUGGAACAGACCCGUAAGGACCGGUAUGGACCAGUAUGGGUGCACUGGGACCAGUACAGACCAGUAUGGACCGGUAUGGACCAGUAUAGACCAGUAUGGGGCUACAGGCAGCGGUACUGGUUUGUACUGGUGCUGGUACUGCUACGGACCAGUAGGGACCAGUAUGGACCGGUAUUGGGGUACCUGGAGCUGUCCUGGUUUGUAGUGGUGCUGGUACUGGAACGGACCAGUAGGGACCAGUAUGGACCAGUAUGGGUGUACAGGCAGCUGUACUGGUUUGUACUGGUGCUGGGACCAGUGCCGACCAGUAAGAACCAGUAUGGACCAGUAUGGGAUGACUGGGAGCUGUUCUGGUUCAUACUGGUGCUGGGAGCAGCAUGGACCAGUAUGGACCAGUAUGGACCAGUAUGGGUGUACCGGGAGCUGUACUGGUUUGUACUGGUGCUGGGAACAGUAUGGACCAGUAUGGACCAGUAUGGACCAGUAUGGGGGUACCGACAGCUGUACUGGUUUGUACUGGUGCUGGUACUGGUACAGACCAGUAUGGACCAGUAUGGAACAGUAUGGGGCUACUGGCAGCUGUACUGGUUUGUACUGGUGCCGGGAACAGUAUGGACCAGUAUGGACCAGUAUGGACCAGUAUGGGGGUACCGACAGCUGUACUGGUUUGUACUGGUGCUGGGACCAGUACGGACCAGUAUGGACCAGUAUGGACCAGUAUGGGGUUACUGGGAGUGGUACUGGUCUGUACUGGUGCUGGGAAUAGUAUGGACCAGUAUAGACCAGUAUAGACCAGCAUGGGUGUACUGGGAGCUGUACUGGUUUGUACUGGUGCUGGGAACAGUAUAGACCAGUAU
rnacentral:lncRNA from 1 species